UACGGAGGGAGCAAGCGUUACUCGGAAUUAUUGGGCGUAAAGGGCGCGUAGGCGAUCUGAAAAGUUCUGUGUGAAAGCCCACAUGUUAACUGUGGAAGUGCACAGAAAACUGUUGGAUUUGAGUUCAGGAGAGGAAGGCAGAAUUCCCGGUGUAGCGGUGAAAUGCGUAGAGAUCGGGAGGAACACCGGUGGCGAAGGCGGCGUCCUGGACCAAUACUGACACUGAAACGCGAAAGCCAGGGGAGCAAACGGG
rnacentral:rRNA from 1 species